UCCGGUUUGACACCGGCAGUCUCCCUAGAGUGCCCGGCAUAACCCGCUGGUAACUAGGGACGAGGGUUGCGCUCGUUGCGGGACUUAACCCAACAUCUCACGACACGAGCUGACGACAGCCAUGCAGCACCUCUACACAGACCUCCGAAGAGGGGGACUCAUCUCUGAGCCUUUCCUGUGCAGUUCAAACCCAGGUAAGGUUCUGCGCGUUGCUUCGAAUUAAACAACAUGCUCCGCUGCUUGUGCGGGCCCCCGUCAAUUCCUUUGGGUUUCAGCCUUGCGGCCGUACUCCCCAGGCGGGGCACUUACUGCGUUAGCGACGGCACCGGGAGGGUCGCUCCCCCCGACGCCUAGUGCCCAUCGUUUACAGCCAGGACUAC
rnacentral:misc_RNA from 1 species